UACGAAGGGGGCUAGCGUUGUUCGGAAUCACUGGGCGUAAAGCGCACGUAGGCGGAUUGUUAAGUCGGGGGUGAAAUCCUGAGGCUCAACCUCAGAACUGCCUUCGAUACUGGCAAUCUCGAGUCCGGAAGAGGUUGGUGGAACAGCUAGUGUAGAGGUGAAAAUUCGUAGAUAUUAGCUAGAACACCAGUGGCGAAGGCGGCCAACUGGUCCGGCACUGACGCUGAGGCACGAAAGCGUGGGGAGCAAACAGGG
rnacentral:rRNA from 1 species